rnacentral:rRNA from 1 species
CGCUGGCGGCGUGCUUAACACAUGCAAGUCGAACGAGAAUCUGUGGAUCGAGGAUUCGUCCAAGUGAAGCAGAGGACAGUGGCGGACGGGUGAGUAACGCGUGAGGAACCUGCCUUUCAGAGGGGGACAACAGUUGGAAACGACUGCUAAUACCGCAUGAUACAUUUGGGUGGCAUCAUCUGAAUGUCAAAGAUUUAUCGCUGAAAGAUGGCCUCGCGUCUGAUUAGCUAGUUGGUGAGGUAACGGCCCACCAAGGCGACGAUCAGUAGCCGGACUGAGAGGUUGAACGGCCACAUUGGGACUGAGAUACGGCCCAGACUCCUACGGGAGGCAGCAGUGGGGAAUAUUGGGCAAUGGGCGCAAGCCUGACCCAGCAACGCCGCGUGAAGGAAGAAGGCUUUCGGGUUGUAAACUUCUUUUGUCAGGGACGAGUAGAAGACGGUACCUGACGAAUAAGCCACGGCUAACUACGUG